ACAAUGGAGAGUUUGAUCCUGGCUCAGGAUGAACGCUAGCGGCAGGCUUAAUACAUGCAAGUCGAGGGGCAGCAGGACUGUAGCAAUACAGUUGCUGGCGACCGGCAAACGGGUGCGGAACACGUACGCAACCUACCCAAAACUGGGGAAUAGCCCGGGGAAACCCGGAUUAAUACCUCGUAACCUAUUGGAGUGGCAUCACUUUAAUAGUAUAGCUCCGGCGGUUUUGGAUGGGCGUGCGCCUGAUUAGGUAGUUGGUGAGGGUAACGGCCCACCAAGCCUGCGAUCAGUAACUGGUGUGAGAGCACGACCAGUCACACGGGCACUGAGACACGGGCCCGACUCCUACGGGAGGCAGCAGUAAGGAAUAUUGGUCAAUGGACGCAAGUCUGAACCAGCCAUGCCGCGUGAAGGAUGAAGGUCCUCUGGAUUGUAAACUUCUUUUAUAUGGGACGAAACCCGGGAAUUCUUUCCCGAUUGACGGUACCAUAAGAAUAAGCACCGGCUAACUCCGUGCCAGCAGCCGCGGUAAUACGGAGGGUGCAAGCGUUAUCCGGAUUCACUGGGUUUAAAGGGUGCGUAGGAGGGUAGGUAAGUCAGUGGUGAAAUCUUCGAGCUUAACUCGGAAACUGCCGUUGAUACUAUCUAUCUUGAAUACCGUGGAGGUGAGCGGAAUAUGUCAUGUAGCGGUGAAAUGCUUAGAUAUGACAUAGAACACCAA
rnacentral:ncRNA from 1 species